rnacentral:rRNA from 1 species
AGUCGAGGGGUAUGGGCUUUCGGGCCCGAGACCGGCGCACGGGUGCGUAACGCGUAUGCAAUCUACCUUUUACAGCGGGAUAGCCCAGAGAAAUUUGGAUUAAUACCACAUAGUAUUAUAGGAUGGCAUCAUUUUAUAAUUAAAGUCACAACGGUAAAAGAUGAGCAUGCGUCCCAUUAGCUAGUUGGUAAGGUAACGGCUUACCAAGGCAACGAUGGGUAGGGGUCCUGAGAGGGAGAUCCCCCACACUGGUACUGAGACACGGACCAGACUCCUACGGGAGGCAGCAGUGAGGAAUAUUGGACAAUGGGCGCAAGCCUGAUCCAGCCAUGCCGCGUGCAGGAUGACGGUCCUAUGGAUUGUAAACUGCUUUUAUACAGGAAGAAACCCUUGCUCGUGAGCAAGAUUGACGGUACUGUAAGAAUAAGGAUCGGCUAACUCCGUGCCAGCAGCCGCGGUAAUACGGAGGAUCCAAGCGUUAUCCGGAAUCAUUGGGUUUAAAGGGUCCGUAGGCGGUUUAAUAAGUCAGUGGUGAAAGCCCAUCGCUCAACGGUGGAACGGCCAUUGAUACUGUUAGACUUGAAUUAUUAGGAAGUAACUAGAAUAUGUAGU